UGCCCAGCAACUCCUAUCCCUACCUCCUCGUGGUACUGGCCGGGGUACGAGUAACCUUAGAGAAGAUCGGGUAACCAACCCCCGGUGGGAACUUUGGUUGUAUGCUGACAGGGAAGG
rnacentral:ribozyme from 1 species